UACGUAGGGGGCGAGCGUUGUCCGGAAUCAUUGGGCGUAAAGCGCGUGUAGGCGGUCCGGUAAGUCCGCUGUGAAAGUCGGGGGCUCAACCCUCGGAUGCCGGUGGAUACUGUCGGGCUUGAGUACGGAAGAGGCGAGUGGAAUUCCUGGUGUAGCGGUGAAAUGCGCAGAUAUCAGGAAGAACACCUAUGGCGAAGGCAGCUCUCUGGGACGGUACUGACGCUGAGACGCGAAAGCGUGGGGAGCGAACAGG
rnacentral:rRNA from 1 species